rnacentral:ncRNA from 1 species
AAGUGGCUGUUAGGGUUAGCAGCCCGUAUCGGUAACGAUACGGUGAACAGUGGGCUAAGUCAGGGAAACCGAAACAGUCAAGGCCAACCGACGAUCUAGUAGAUCGUCGCAGUGGCCGCGACAGUAUUAUAGAUGUCGGCAAUCCUGAGCUAGCAUCCCGCCAAGUGCGGGAGGGCAAGUGCAGAGACUUUACACCCGCUACCCCACCUUCGAUUGUAUCGAAGAGGGUAAAGAGAAAGUCCGACUCUUGAGGAAACUCAAGU